AACCUAGACAGACACGUGUGCAGCGGCUGCGAGUUUACUUUGCGCACCCUUAUUCUCGAAAGAACUGUCGGUUGUUGUUUGACGGUUUCUCACGAAAAGGAAUCUCCUUAUGUUACACAUCAAGACCGAUCACUGGCCGAACUUACGGCAAAGACGCCAUGCUUUUGGAAAACCGUCGUAAUUCGUCAGUCCUCUGAAGGUUUCAAAGCCAGUUCCCUGGCCGCAGCCUGGGCCUGCAUGAGGAGUUCAGCCUGGUGGAGGUGCUGAAGGCCGUCAUGAUGCAGCAUGGACUUGGGCCGUAAGAUGAGCGAGUUGGAGAAAAAGCUGAAGUGCCUGCAGAUGCAGCGCAAACUUGUACAAGUAGAGCAAGGUGGCAAAAACGAAGACGAAAAUCCACAAACUGAGCACCAUCAAACCAUCGAUGAUGAUUUUUCUGCCAAUGUUCACAGGAAUUGUGAGGAUCUGACCAGCCCCGAGGUGGACCGUGUCAUCGUCCAGCGACUGAGGGUUGAUGAAGUCAUUGACGUCCCUUACGGCAAGCUGAUGACCUGUUGAUCAUCAAGGGAAUGCGAGACAGCAUGGGAGGGCUCGGGAAGGGGGCGGAGUUUGAGGCUCUGGAAGGGAGGGAGAUCUUGAACAGUCUGCUGUGUAUCGACGUCAAGCUUGAUGGGCUGGAGUCUAGCAACAUGGAACCAUUGCUGUGCCAGUUGCUGGAAAGGGCAAACAUGCCCAGAGAACUCAACAAAUUGAUGAGAAUGAGGUUGAUCACAUUGUCAACAAGGAGUGUGAAAAACUGGACAAGAGACUUGGAGAGGGGGCCAAGGUGAGCUUGCCGACACCCAAGAUUUGCAGAGGGCAGAACUGGACUUGGCUGUUUUGGGCAGAGAUGUAACCAGAUCAGUCACGUUGAAUAGAUUUGAGACUGAAUGACUCUUAGUUAACUUGUGAUGACUUGUGACUGAUUUUGUAAACAGUUCGGCUUAAGGCUCGACUAGGUAGUGUUGUAUUUUCCAGAUAAACAUUUAUUUGCGGUAAUUUUUCUUGGUCAUAUGCGAGACCUGUCGAUGCAAACUUGCAAUUUACACAUUCAUUUUGAAACAAUACACCCAAGAAGUCUGACAUCAUGCAAGUCGUCUAAGUGGUAAGUCUAAACAAUGUCUUGUUCGCCACUUUUACCUUCGGAUUUGCACAGGCAUAAGUUGAACAUGUUUUGAUAAAAAGUAAAUGGUAAGCCCUUAUCGUAUUGAAUUUGUGAUAAAAACUUAACUUUCCCCAUUUUUAUAAAAAUGCAAGGCUAACCCUUACCGUAUUGAAAUUUUGAUGAAAAUUUACGUUCGUGCUAUUUUUUGAUAAAAACUACCAUAAAAACUAAGUUUGUUUUUGCCCCUUUUUGAUAAAAAUGCGAGGCUAAUCCUUUACAGUUUUGAAUAUCUGAUGAAAAGUUAACUUUUGACCAGUUUAUGAUAAAAAUUCAAGGCUAACCACGAACCGGUUCGAAUAUGUGAUAAAUAAUUCUUUUUGUCCCUUUUUGAUAAAAAUGAAAGGCUAAUCCGCUACCGCUUUGAAUUUGUGAUAAAAAAAAUUUUGCCCUGUUUUGA
rnacentral:lncRNA from 1 species